CAGUAGCCACGGGAAUACAGAGGGUGCGAGCGUUAAUCGGAUUUACUGGGCGUAAAGCGUGCGUAGGCGGCUUUUUAAGUCGGAUGUGAAAUCCCUGAGCUUAACUUAGGAAUUGCAUUCGAUACUGGGAAGCUAGAGUAUGGGAGAGGAUGGUAGAAUUCCAGGUGUAGCGGUGAAAUGCGUAGAGAUCUGGAGGAAUACCGAUGGCGAAGGCAGCCAUCUGGCCUAAUACUGACGCUGAGGUACGAAAGCAUGGGGAGCAAACAGGAUUAGAUACCCGGGUAGUCCCUGUCUCUUAUAC
rnacentral:rRNA from 1 species